UGCCAAUGAUGUUAGAAAUUGUCCGUACCAUCUGAGAAUCUACUCUUUGAUGAGACUUUUUACAUUUUUUCUGAGGCCA